rnacentral:SRP_RNA from 11 species
GAUGACUGCUCGAGUGCAGUGCGAAUUCAGCAGAAGUGGCUCCCCCGGGCGGGGGGGGGCC